rnacentral:tRNA from 1 species
ACGGGGUUAGCUCAAUGGCGGAGCAGAGGACUCAUAAUCCUUUGGUUGCGGGUUCGAAUCCCGCACCCCGUACCA